rnacentral:piRNA from 1 species
UGAGUUUGAAGCACGUAUAUGAGAUUGCCU